AUGGCGGGUGCGGCGAAGGCGUCUUGGAUGGUGGCGAUGAGCGUGGGCGCCGUGGAGGCCCUCAAGGAUCAGGCUGGACUCUGCCGCUGGAACUACGCGCUCAGGUCCAUCCACCGGACUGCCAAGGCCAGGGCCAACGUCCACGGCGCCGUCUCUCAAGGCUCCAAGCAGCUUCCGGCCUCCGCCGCAGCCCGAGCCGAGAAGGCCGAGGAAGGGCUGAGGACGGUGAUGUACCUCAGCUGCUGGGGGCCAAAUUAG
rnacentral:rRNA from 1 species